rnacentral:ncRNA from 2 species
AAAAGCAUGUGGGAGCUGUGUAAACGGCUGAGAAAGAGGAUGUAUCUUCUGACCAAUCGACCUGAUCUGGAUAAUGCCAGCGUAGGGAAUAUGUAAACUUUGUAU